rnacentral:rRNA from 1 species
UGUAAGCGGUAGGAGAGCAUUCCAACGGCGUAGAAGGUGACGCGUAAGCGUUGCUGGAGCUUCUGGAAGAGACUCUGCCAGCAUAAGUAGCGACAAUGGGGGCGAGAACCCCCCACGCCGUAAGUCUAAGGUUUCCUGAGAAAGGUUAAUCCGCUCAGGGUUAGUCGGAGCCUAAGGUGAGGCCGAAAGGCGUAGCUGAUGGACAACUGGUUAAAAUUCCAGUACUUCUUUUGUUUUCGAUGCGGGGACGCUGCACGAAAUUCCCGGUGCGAAAUGGUUCCAAUCCGGGAGCUAGUGAGGUUGGGGAAGGCAAAUCCACCCAGCCGUCAGCCUGGAAAAUCCGCUAAGGUUAGGGCAGAAGAAUCCGUACCACAAACCGACACAGGUGGACAAGAUGAGUAUUCUCAGGCGCUCGGGUGAUGGUCUGCGAAGGAACUAGGCAAAUUAGCUCCGUAACUUCGGGAGAAGGAGUGCCCACCUCAGACGUGGGUCGCAGUGAAUAGCGUCAGGCGACUGUUUAACAAAAACACAGGUCUCUGCUAAGUCAAAAAAACGACGUAUAGGGGCUGACGCCUGCCCGGUGCCGGAAGGUUAAAAGGAGGGGUUAGUCGCAAGGCGAAGCUCUGAAUUGAAGCCCCGGUGAACGGCGGCCGUAACUAUAACGGUCCUAAGGUAGCAAAAUUCCUUGUCGGGUAAGUUCCGACCUGCACGAAUGGCGUAACGAUCUGACGACUGUCGGCGCAGGCCGCCCGGCGAACUUGUGGUUCCGGUGAAGACGCCGGAUGCCCGCCACUAGACGAAAAGACCCCGUGCACCUUUACUAUACUUUAACAAUGAAUUAUGGGAUGGACUGCGUAGGAUAGGUGGGAGGCUUUGAACCCGGAUUCUUGGAUUCGGGGGAGCCAAUGGUGAAAUACCACCCUGUUUAUUCUGUGAUUCUAACCUACCGACCUGAUCGGCCGGAGGGACAUUGUUAGACGGGUAGUUUGACUGGGGCGGUCGCCUCCAAAAUUGUAACGGAGGCGUGCGAAGCUUGGUUCAGGAGGUUUGGAAAUCCUCCUUCGAGUGCAAUAGCAUAAACCAGGUUGACUGUGAGACCUACAAGUCAAGCAGCUGCGAAAGCAGGCUAUAGUGAUCCGGUGAUUCUGUAUGGAAGGGUCAUCGCUCAACGGAUAAAAGGUACGCCGGGGAUAACAGGCUGAUCGGAGUCAAGAGUUCAUAUCGACGCUCCGGUUUGGCACCUCGAUGUCGGUUCAUCGCAUCCCGGGGGUGUAGAAGCUCCCAAGGGUUAGGCUGUUCGCCUAUUAAAGCGGUACGUGAACUGGGUUCAGAACGUCGCGAGACAGUUCGGUCUCUAUCUGUGGUGGGCGUAGGAAAUUUGAAAGGAUCUGCCUUUAGUACGAGAGGACCGAGGUGGACGAACCUCUUGUGAUCCAGUUGUCCCGCCAGGGGCACCGCUGGGUAGCGAAGUUCGGUUAGGAUAAGCGCUGAAUGCAUAUAAGCGCGAAACCUUCCUUAAGAUGAGAUUUCCCAAGCGCAAGCUAUGAAGGGCCGUGGAAGACGACCACGUUGAUAGGCUGGGUGUGUAAGCGUAGUAAUACGUUAAGCUGACCAGUACUAAUCGCCCGUUCGGCUUGACC